rnacentral:rRNA from 1 species
UACGUAGGAGACAAGCGUUGUCCGGAAUUACUGGGCGUAAAGCGCGUGUAGGCGGCUCUGCAAGUCGGGUGUGAAAUCCCAUGGCUCAACCAUGGAAGUGCACUCGAAACUGCAGGGCUAGAGUCCUGGAGAGGAAGGUGGAAUGCUUGGUGUAGAGGUGAAAUUCGUAGAUAUCAGGAAGAACACCAAUGGCGAAGGCAGCUCUCUGGGACGGUACUGACGCUGAGACGCGAAAGCGUGGGGAGCGAACAGG